AUUUGUUCAUAAUUAUGAUGUUUUACAUUAAAACCAAAAAACUUACAUACUAAUUCAAUCGACUAUUAUUUCCUUGAUUUCCCCAGAUUUUACAGAAGAUCGUUUCCACACAUGCAUGCUAUGUUAACCUUUAGGAUGUUUUUCUAUAUUUAUAGGUACUAUAUGAUCAAAAAAUUCGAGGUUUUAAUUUAUUUUUGUUGUUUGCUGCUCGUGACCAUUCCUUCGAGCAUCAUCACCAUUCACCGGUAACCUCCAAACCAUGAUCCAAUUCCAAUUCUACGCAUCCAUUCGUCUCCACGACUAUUGUUCUCACAUUCCCAUUUAGCAAAAAAAAAAAUCACAAUCGAUUUUUGAAAGGAAAAAAAAAAUUCUUAGAAGAGAUUGAAACAGAUCCGCGUGUGCCAGCAGUGGAACCUGACCCGAAGGCAUACUCGUAUGGUGAAGGUGCGAAUCGUCAUUUAAAGGAGGAAGCGGUGGCGACGGAGGUUCUGAGAUUGGAGCGACGGAUCUUUCAAUUGCUUGAAAAUUAAGGACCUGCUUUGUCCUAUUUGUAUGCAGAUAGUUAAUAAUGCUUUUCUCCGGCUUGCGGUCAUAGCUUCUGCUAUCAUCGCACAUCUUAAGAACAAGAGCGAUUCCCCUUGUUCUAGCCAAAAUCUGACUAACAAUCAUCGUUCUUACUCAUAAGUAGUGAAGCUAAAGCUGAAAAGGGUGGACGGAAGAGAAAGAUCGGUGCAGAGCAACAAAAAUUAAGAAGAACGAUAAAAAGAAAUUCAUGGCUGUGUAUUGUCUUAGUACUCUGCUCCUACUUACCGUCGCAGCUUUUAAUGGUAUUUUAUUCAUCUCUAGAAUACAUGUGAUCUUGAUUUUGUUAGCAGAUUGAUGUAUCCCUGAAUAGUUUGCUUUUGAAACUUUAGUUUGAGCUUCGAUUUUAAUUUGAAAUGUUCGCAAGGCAAGGCUUCUAAUCUUAUUGUAGUGGUUUGAUCUAGGAUCUAGAGUUCGAUCAAUCAUCUUCGAUGCAUUCUGAAAAAUAAAUCUUGGAAUCAAAAUUGGAUUGUAUGAGAGAUAUAUGAUUAUAUCGUCUCUGUUUGGUCACGUGUGGUUGCUGAGAACAGAGAUUGGAGUUCUCAUUAUAAUCUUUGCAUCAUCGUCCAUAUCUUUUAGGUAAAAAUAUUGAAAAUCAAAACUCAUAUGUUUUUAAACUUACGGGGUCACAGUUUAUAGUGAUACAUACUUUUGUGGAACUUCAUUUUGAAAAAUCAUUAUUUGUGGAUUUUAUUGUUAUUUCUAGUGGUUUUGCAUAUCGUUUGAUGAAGAUAUAACAUCUGUUCUCGCAUUGGUAGUCAUGUCAUUUACUAUGUGUGUUUCAUUUGGUGUUUGGGUUCCCUCAGUUAUACUUCCUUAGGGUUUAGUGUUCUGCGUUUAACUGGCUACUUGGGUCCCCUCAGUUGUAGUUCCUUAGGGUUUAGUGUUCCUUAAUAACAAUGCGGUUAACGAGCUGCUUGGGGUCCCUCAGUUAUACUUCUUUAGGGUUUAGUGUUCUGCGGUUAACUGGUUACUUGGGUUCCCUCAGUUGUAGUUCCUUAGGGUUUAUAGUUCCUUAAUAAGAGUGCGGUGAACUAGCUACUUGGGGUUCCCUCAGUAAUAGUCCUUAGGGUAUAGUUUUUCUUAAUACAUGUAUGUGUGUUUGAUUCGGUCCAAUACAUUAGUUGUCCUCAUUUGCAUUCCCUUAAUACUCUUCCCCUUGUAAGUUCUGUUAAGUACAUGGCUUCUACUAGCCGCCGAACUCUUCACUCACGAGGUAUACAUACUCGAGUCCAUGAAUUUCUUCCUUUCUCUAUGAUUUCUUGCUAUAUUUGAGCUUAUAUGACAAUGUUUGUUUAAUGGUUUGCUUGUUAUUAAUUAUCUUCCUGAACAAAUCAUUUUUACAUGGUUGGUGGCGUCGACGAGAUAGUUGUGAAGGCAAAAAACUUUUCCAAGGAGUCGACAGCUUAAAGGACUGAUUUACUUCUUCUUUUUUUCAUAGCUGUUGUAUAGUUGUCUUAUGAGAUCAAAGGUUGAUAAGUAUAUGUAAUUUUGUUUAGUUUUUUCUACUUCUUGUUUAGGUAUUUAGGAUUGACAAUGAAAACCAAACAAUUGCUAAUUUACGUUAUAUAUGAAGACUAAAUGUCUCUCUUUUUCA